rnacentral:rRNA from 1 species
GAUCUCAGAUCAAGUAAGAGGACCCGCCGAAUUUAAGCAUAUCAAUAAGCGGAGGA